UCUAACUGAUAGUUCGAGGAGUGGAAUGAUCGGGUAACGCCGUGAAACGCUCCCUCUGAGACUACGGCAAAAAGGAAUGUUUGUAAUAACAAAUCCUUGAUGCAGCCCGUCGAAGUCGGCGGAAGUCUGCCCCAGCAAUUGUUGCUGUGGAAAUCGGCUUGGAGGCAAGCUGUGCAGAUGAUACGCC
rfam:Desulfosporosinus sp. OL contig00243, whole genome shotgun sequence.